rnacentral:rRNA from 1 species
GACAGAGGGUGCAAACGUUGCUCGGAAUUAUUGGGCGUAAAGGGCUCGUAGGCGGUUUGUCGCGUCGGGAGUGAAAACCCAGGGCUUAACCCUGGGCUGGCUUUCGAUACGGGCAGACUAGAGGUAUGCAGGGGAGAACGGAAUUCCUGGUGUAGCGGUGAAAUGCGCAGAUAUCAGGAGGAACACCGGUGGCGAAGGCGGUUCUCUGGGCAUUACCUGACGCUGAGGAGCGAAAGUGUGGGGAGCGAACAGG